UAUUUAUCUCCAAAAUCUACGUUCGCCAUAUUUAAGUUCAACUUCGUGUGCGCCCGCACGGAUGUUUCUGAAGACAGCGUAAAUGAUAAUAAAACGGCUAAUGUGGUGUUUUAUAACGUACGUUGUGUGGGUCAUAAAAUAUGUAAAUUUGUCAAAAAGAAGCCGGUGUGCCUUUAUCGCCACACAACUGGGGGGAAUCUUGAUCGAGAACACACCCGGAAGUAGCUCAGGCGGCUAAAUAUGGGAACUCUUCCUUGAAAUAUGGUACCAUUAGCUACAGAUGUCACGCAAUGAUGUGAAAGUUGUAUGCGGAAGACUGUGUGUCCUUGGCGGAUUUGAGAAGUAGCUCAUGCUUCUUUGACGGAGGCUGUCUGGUCUGCUGCAGCUGAGCCUCCCUGUCCGCUUCGCCAUGCCGCUGGUGGUGGACGCCGUGUGGGCGCUGUGGAGCAUCGGGGCCGGCAUCUAUGACUACUUUCACACCAGUGCCAUGGAGGAGAGGAUCCACACGCUGGAAAAUGUGCUCUCGAUCCACCAGUUUGUGAUCGCAGCCCUGUCAGCAGGCCUCAUCCUGCUCAUGACGUACAUACUGUGGAGAAAACACUGAAACCCCAUCAGCCGCGAUCCCACUCCAUGUUGUUUUUGUCACAUGAUAACUCAUGUUACCACGGCUAGUUUCCAUCCUGAUGCUGGCUGGAUUAUGUGCUCACACAACAAUCAGGACGUCCCAGAUGGGAAACUGAGCAGCAAAGCUGCAUGAGGACUCCAGCGACAUGUGGUCUCUGAAAACUCAUCUGUCUGCCUGUCUUUGUGUUUUGGAUGUUAAACUGGCCUGAGUCAUAAUAAUACAAAAUUAUAAAGCUUCUCAUGACAACUUUGCAUUGUAUGCCAAUCCUGACCGUCUAGAAAAGCCCUCUGAGUUAAUAUCCACUGAUUGAAACAUUUUCCCAGUGUGCCACGAGGGACGGAGAUGUUCAGUUAGUGACGCCAAAUUUCUCUGAAAAGCUGUAAUAACCUCAAGGUUAACGUUUUUCUCACGUUUACAAGUUAAUGUUGUUUUUACAUCUGGCCUGAGAACGUUUCACAGGUAAAUUAGGUAAAAUCGUGUCAUGGGGGAGAACCAACGGUUUGGCGUCCUAAUGUUGUCCGUCUUUAUAUUCAGUCACUGGUUCUAACUUUCAGAGUCGGUUUAAUGGUGGUGAUGAUGGUCUUGUUGCAUUGCUACCCUAAAGAUUAAAACCAGCAGUGAUUUAAAAAGUGUACAUAUGCCUUUGCCUGCUGUGGUCUGUAAUGAUCCUGGUUCCAGGUGACAGAAUAACACUGCUGACAAGUUUGAACACUGGGAAAUGAAUUCAUCCUGUGUGUGAUUUAUUCAUGCUGAGAAGAAGGGAUUGGAGGUGGAGGUUAUUCUAUUUAUUUAAUGUAAUCUGACAUGCUUUGUGUGUGUGUGUGUGUUUAAUUUGUCCGAGUUUACAUUUUUACCAACAUUGUUUCCAGUCUGUUUCAUGAAGUUGAUCGUACUGUCUAACGAUUUAAUUAAUUUCAUUGGUUACUGUCACUACUGUACCUGCUUACUCUGUGGGGUUCACCAUCAGAGUCCUGAAUGCACUACUGCGUGUUACUGACAAACCACUACCAUGGCUGCUGUUAAAGGGAAUAUGUUUGAAAAAUAAAUCAUAUCUUGAGUCCAA